rnacentral:lncRNA from 1 species
GGCGGCAAUAUGAAUAAAGAUACUCAAGUCAACUCGAAAACCCUCUGGUUAGAAGCAGAAAUCAAGUGGACCGAACUCUAGACAGUGGCCUAUGUUUCAACGAGCUGGCGGUGUCAAUAUCCAAACUCAAAAUGAUGAUGGCGCAGCACAGGAACGUUUCGUUUACUUUAACCAAAGAUAUUGUGUCCUUAGAAGAAAUUGCCAAGAGACUUUGUGCCAUAAGGCCUCUGUCUGUGUGGAAGAAUCAUCAUCUGCUGCAAGUGUUCCUGAAAUGAGACUGGUCGUGAACACUUAACAGCUUCAAAUCGCUUAUUUUGCUGCAAGAAUAUAGAUCUGCAAAAAAAUCGUGAUGAUAAUGUUAUAUCAGAACAAGAAAAUAGCGAGACUUGGAGCUCAGAUGAUCGUGUUGGAGCGUUCUUUUAUGGUUUAUGCCUCGAUAUGGUGCGCUGAGGACAGGGGAUGUCUUUAUUUAAGGGACUCAAUAAGCAAAAUAUUUGAUACCAACUGAUUACUUUUUCUUGAUGACUAAAGCUGGCUCCAUCGUCUUGCUUUUGACCUUCACUUGGUAUUGGCAGCUUCUAUAUUUUCGAGACAUAAGAUGAAUCAAACGAAUGGUUCCGCAAAGUUACAAAGG